ensembl:lncRNA
GAAGUGGUCGCGGUUGACCCUUCCAGCUCCACCUACCGUUGCCAGCCCAUCAGGGUCUUUCCCGCCUUAUCCGCCGCCGGCUCAGCUUCGGUGUUGGUGGGCCGGUCUGCGGGCCACCCCCUCACCAUUCCUGUUGUGGGGCCCACACCAGCAACUCGCAGACUCCUGUUCCCUGUGCAGCCGACGUCUCUGCUGUCCCCACCCCCACCCUGCGGUCCCACUGCCAACAGCGUCUCCUCAGCGCAACGCUCAGCCCGGCGGCCGCCAUCUUCCCCGCAGACAUCACUGCAGGACGAUCACUGUCUGGCACGUCUCUCCUGCCAUGUCUGCCACAGAGGAGCACGACUGGAUCCCAGGUGGCCCGGAUAGAGCUGGUGGCGGGGCGGGCCGCGACCCCAGUCUCCUUGGGGUCCAAGCAUCUGCUUGCGAGGGGACGGAAGGAGUCGAGGUGGCCACGGCUCUUCUGGCUUCCUUGGAGGUCUCCAGAGCCCUUCCCGCGGAGCAGGGUUGGCCACAAGCCCCAGUGGAAGAGGAAUGCGGUAGAGAGCCGUUAGAGGAGUUGGAGAUGGAGGAAGGUGUAGAGAUGCAGGAGGACGAGGAAGAGGGUGAGGCUGACUUCGACUUGGAGGACGUGGAGGAGGAGGAGCACCUGUCUGGAGAGGGCGAGGAAGAGGAGGACGAGAGUGAGCAGGAGGGUGCGGCAGAGGUUACAGGCCUUGGGUUCUGCGUGGAGACGUUUGGGCCCCUGUUCUGGAGUCACGUCGACUCCUUUCUACACAACUUCCGUGACAACAAACAUGUCCUGUUCCGGCCUCCCACUGACCGCCUGAUGGCCAGGGGCCGCUCCCAGCCACCCUCGGACCCUGGAGAAGGUCCGGUGCCUCCUCAGGAGCAGGAAGACCUGGGAGAGGGAGGCAGAGUCUUGCAGGGCCUAGACUCUGCUGCUGAUUUGAAGUUGGGAUAUUUUCCCUGCCAACUUUUGACCCCAAUGUCUGCAUCAUUCUGCCCUAAUGCUGAGGGUGAGGAUCAGUAUGAAAACGCUGAUGAAGACGAAGAGGAUGGAAAUGAAAAACCUGAAGGACUCUGAAUGAAUGUGGUCUCAGCAGAGAGCAGCUCUGGAUAAUACAGCUGCCUGCAGUGUUCUCCAACUAGGAACUAUGGCGUCCAGAGGUGCUGCGAGUCGUUGUAUUCCUACUGCUCCACAGGAUCCUGCUCUUGAAGGGCAACAACUGCAAUACCACCUGGAAACUCCAGUUUGACGUCCAGCCCAGCCUCCUCUGAUGUUCCUGAUGUCAUUCUGGACUUCUUUAAUUGACAAAACCCAGAGCUUAGCCACCUCCUUCUUGAUCCUGAUGAGAACCUGAUGUGAACCAGUGAUUCUGAAACCAUCCUUUAGCCUGUGUUCAUCAUCAUCCAGUAUAAGCCAAGCAAACCACUCUCUGGAGAAAGAGGUGACCUUAUCAGCCAUCCCGGUACUUUGCUCCUCAAAAGGCACCGUGGAACCCAGGAGGUGGACCUAAACCUCUCCUAGACCAGGUCAGAUUGGAGACAAUGGGAACCAUGCUGUUGGCUAUUCACAUUGGUCAGUCCUGCUAAAUGACCACAGAUACCAACACUGAGGCUAGCAACCUUCUCCUGUCUCUUCUACUACAAGCAACACCCAUUCUGGUACAAGUCCCAUUUAUUGAAGCUUGCACUCAAAGAAGUUCGUCUAAGUGACCAAGGAC